GCGGCGUGCCUAAUACAUGCAAGUCGACGGUCUUUCUAUGGAAGCUGCUCACUGAGAAGAUAGUGGCGAACGGGUGAGUAACACGUGGGUAGCCUGCCCAUAAGAGGGGGAUAACAUCCGGAAACGGGUGCUAAUACCGCAUAGUUUUUCUUGAUCGCAUGAUUGAGAAAGGAAAGACGGCCUUUGUGCUGUCGCUUAUGGAUGGACCCGCGGCGUAUUAGUUAGUUGGUGAGGUAACGGCUCACCAAGACGAUGAUACGUAGCCGACCUGAGAGGGUGAUCGGCCACAUUGGGACUGAGACACGGCCCAAACUCCUACGGGAGGCAGCAGUAGGGAAUCUUCCGCAAUGGACGAAAGUCUGACGGAGCAACGCCGCGUGAGUGAAGAAGGUUUUUCGGAUCGUAAAACUCUGUUGUCAGAGAAGAACAAGUUGGAGAGUAACUGCUCCAGCCUUGACGGUAUCUGACCAGAAAGCCACGGCUAACUACGUGCCAGCAGCUGC
rnacentral:rRNA from 1 species